rnacentral:rRNA from 1 species
UACAGAGGUCCCAAGCGUUGUUCGGAUUCACUGGGCGUAAAGGGUGCGUAGGUGGUCGGGUAGGUCUGAUGUGAAAUCUCCGAGCCUAACUCGGAAACUGCAUCGGAUACUAUUCGGCUCGAGGGUUGGAGGGGGGACUGGAAUGCUUGGUGUAGCAGUGAAAUGCGUAGAUAUCAAGCGGAACACCAGUGGCGAAGGCGAGUCCCUGGACAACUCCUGACACUGAGGCACGAAAGCUAGGGGAGCAAACAGG